GAGAACUUUGAAGGCC
rnacentral:miRNA from 1 species